rnacentral:rRNA from 1 species
UAGCAAUACGGAGUGGCAGACGGGUGAGUAACGCGUGGGAACCUUCCCUAUGGUUCGGAAUAGCUCAGGGAAACCUGGGGUAAUACCGGAUAAGCCCUUCGGGGGAAAGAUUUAUCGCCAUUGGAUGGGCCCGCGUAGGAUUAGCUAGUUGGUGAGGUAAUGGCUCACCAAGGCGACGAUCCUUAGCUGGUCUGAGAGGAUGAUCAGCCACACUGGGACUGAGACACGGCCCAGACUCCUACGGGAGGCAGCAGUGGGGAAUAUUGGACAAUGGGCGCAAGCCUGAUCCAGCCAUGCCGCGUGAGUGACGAAGGCCUUAGGG